UACGGAGGGUGCGAGCGUUGUCCGGAAUCACUGGGCGUAAAGGGCGCGUAGGCGGCCUGGUAAGUAGGGGGUGAAAUCCUGCGGCUUAACCGCAGGGCUGCCUUCUAAACUGUCAGGCUCGAGCACGGUAGAGGCAGAUGGAAUUCCCGGUGUAGCGGUGGAAUGCGUAGAGAUCGGGAAGAACAUCAGUGGCGAAGGCGGUCUGCUGGGCCGUUGCUGACGCUGAGGCGCGACAGCGUGGGGAGCAAACAGGAUUAGAUACCCUGGUAGUCCACGCCGUAAACGAUGGGCACUAGGCGUCGGGGGGAGCGACCCUCCCGGUGCCGUCGCUAACGCAGUAAGUGCCCCGCCUGGGGAGUACGGCCGCAAGGCUGAA
rnacentral:rRNA from 1 species